rnacentral:tRNA from 1 species
GAGAUUGUAGUUCAAUUGGUCAGAGCACCACCCUGUCAAGGCUGAAGCUGUAGGUUCGAGUCGCGUCAGUCCCA